AGAGCUCCAAGUGGACCAUUUUUGGUAUGCAAAUCUAGCAAUGAAAGAUGAACUAAAAAUCAAGUUAUGAUGCCAAAUUAUGGGCUAAUCCCACAAAGCAUGUUGGUUGAUUAAUAUCGCAAGAAAAUGGUUAUGGAAGUUGAAUCUGCUAAGGAGUGUGUAACAACUAACUUCCCAAUUCAACUAACCCUGAGAAUGGAUGGUGCUAAAGUGUGUGACAUAUACUCAACAAUUGAAGCAAUUGCCAAGCUCCAAUGACUAAGAGGAUGUGGGGGUUAUUAAACUUUGAAUGUGACACUGGGCAUACCAACCCCCAAUGCAAAUCUUGAUUGUACUAAGUAACAAAUAUUCAAAUGAGAACUUUGAACAUUGAAAUGGGGAAAAAUUCCAUGUGAACAAGGAUUAGACAUGGGUUAGUCUAUCCUAAGAGAUGGUGAAGCCUUGUAUCAAGGGAACUCUACAUGAAUAUCGAAAGGGAAUCGAGUUAAUAUUCUUGAACCGGGACAUGGCAGUGGACAACAACGUAGGAAAUACAGAAAUGUCAUCAAAGGCCCUAGGAAGACUUAUAUUUUCCUUUUAACAACUUGUCCACCCUAGAAUUGAUUCAAUAAGAGAUUGGGUCCAAUCUCUAAAAGAGGAAAGCAUGCCUUGCAGUGUUUGGAUUGAGUUAUGUUCAUGCCUAGUCCUACUCAUCACAACAUCAAAACUCCAAGAUGACCAUCCUUUGGUAAAAAUAGAACAAUGUAGUUGAUGGAAGUUAGCAAAAUGGAUUUGUAAAUUCCGAAAAAGGAUUGGCUCUGAGGGUUGGGCCUAGGGGUCUACGUCCUAAACCCAUGGGAUGCCCAAGCUACUAUUGCAACAAGGGAAAGCAAUCACAUGUUGAAUGGGCUAUGGAUGUAGAGUUCCCCCUAACAAGGACUUUCCCUAGGUGGCAAAUAGAUGAUUAAGAACUAGUACGAACAAGGGAGUCUCACUAUUUAAUUAAAACAAAGCAUUGUGAUGAUCCCUGCAGAUGUUGACACAAUUUGACUUUUGCCCAAUGCUUUGAAUGUCAAAGUGAAGAAAAUCAACAAAGCCUGGGUAAACAAUGGGAGUAACUAAGACUCUCUUAAGGUAGCCAAAUGCCUCAUUAUCUAAUUAGUGAUGCACAUGAAUGAAUUAACGAGAUUCCCACUAUCCCUAUCUAGUGAAACCACAACCAAGGUAAUGGACUUCAUGAACUCAACGGGGAAAGAAGAUCCUAUUGAGCUUGACACUACUGUGCAUUUGUGAAAAGACGUGAGAGGUGUCGAGAAAGUGGGAGUGGUUUUUAGCACAAGUGAACACCACUACUUUUAACAUUAUUUUUACUUAUUAUGUGAGGCAAAGAUGGGGCAUCACCCAUGUUUUGGCCUCAGGGCAUGCUUCAACGAGAUGAUCUAAGGGGAAGACAUUGCCAAGGGGAGUUUGGUUGGGGCAACACAUUUGUUGAAAGAUAGCGUACAUAUCCUAAUAUGAACUCAAUGAGAACAAAACAAUAGGGUAAAAGCUCAUUUGAUUUUGAUUUUCGAUAUGAAUACAAACCGUGAACCAUGGCUUGUCGAUCCUUUAGACUUUCAAAAUUUGAGGCUAAAGGUGUCAAAAGAGUUAUCAAGGGGAUAAUUGGCUUGUGGUAUCCAAGCAUCAUAGUGAGAUUGUUUUUUUAUCCUUCUAUGUCGGCUCUUCCUAUCAUUAUGAUGCAAAAUUUGUGGAUUGUUGGGUUAUUCACACACCAAUAGGAACAUACAUUGGGUUUAGACCAUCAUGAGACAAGUUGGUUUUACCCUACCGAUUCACUAUGCCACAAUAGAAAUUCAACUUAGUAUGAGAGGAAUUGUUGAUUCACACAAUUAGUCAUCGUGCUUGGUUGAAAAGCCAGUGGUGUAAAGCUAUUAUGUUGGAUUAUCAUUGAAUGCCUCUAAGUCAAAAUCCAUGCUAAAACCAAAGCUUAUCACUCUUCCAUUAUAUCGUGACCCACAAGAGGGGCGCUCGGAUGCCCCCACGGGCUAGUGUCAUUAGCAAUGUGUACAAGGAAUGCAUCAGCUAGGGAAGUGUUCAAUUCCAAAUGGUUGACAAGAAGAAUCCUUUGUAGAGGACUUAAAUAUGUGACAAGUUAUUGUAAGUAACAAAGUGGCCUUAACACCACAAUCAACUAAAAUUCAACCAUCAAUCACCUCGAUUC
rnacentral:rRNA from 1 species